UGUUCCAAGCCUUGCUAAGGUGAGAACAUAGCUGAAGUGAUCGGGAAUGCCGGUGAAAAUCCGGCAGCGGACCCCGCCACUGUAACUGCACAAGAAAGCCUCGUGUUCUCACUGCACUAAGCGGGAAGGGAACAGAAACAACGGCAGCAGUAGCCAGGAGACCGGCUUCAGCACACGUAGAUCA
rnacentral:ncRNA from 2 species